GACGAACGCUGGCGGCGUGCUUAACACAUGCAAGUCGAACGGUAAGGCCCUUCGGGGUACACGAGUGGCGAACGGGUGAGUAACACGUGGGUGAUCUGCCCUGCACUUCGGGAUAAGCCUGGAAACUGGGUCUAAUACCGGAUAGGACCACUGCCUGCAUGGGUGGUGGUGGAAAGCUUUUGCGGUGUGGGAUGGGCCCGCGGCCUAUCAGCUUGUUGGUGGGGUGAUGGCCUACCAAGGCGACGACGGGUAGCCGGCCUGAGAGGGUGACCGGCCACACUGGGACUGAGAUACGGCCCAGACUCCUACGGGAGGCAGCAGGGGGGAAUAUUGCACAAUGGGCGCAAGCCUGAUGCAGCGACGCCGCGUGAGGGAUGACGGCCUUCGGGUUGUAAACCUCUUUCAGCACCGACGAAGCGCAAGUGACGGUAGGUGCAGAAGAAGGACCGGCCAACUACGUGCCAGCAGCCGCAGUAA
rnacentral:rRNA from 1 species